rnacentral:rRNA from 1 species
AAAAGUGAAAGACGGUCUUGCUGUCACUUAUAGAUGGAUCCGCGCUGCAUUAGCUAGUUGGUAAGGUAACGGCUUACCAAGGCAACGAUGCAUAGCCGACCUGAGAGGGUGAUCGGCCACACUGGAACUGAGACACGGUCCAGACUCCUACGGGAGGCAGCAGUAGGGAAUCUUCCGCAAUGGGCGAAAGCCUGACGGAGCAACGCCGCGUGAGUGAUGAAGGUCUUCGGAUCGUAAAACUCUGUUAUUAGGGAAGAACAUAUGUGUAAGUAACUGUGCACAUCUUGACGGUACCUAAUCAGAAAGCCACGGCUAACUACGUGCCAGCAGCCGCGGUAAUACGUAGGUGGCAAGCGUUAUCCGGAAUUAUUGGGCGUAAAGCGCGCGUAGGCGGUUUUUUAAGUCUGAUGUGAAAGCCCACGGCUCAACCGUGGAGGGUCAUUGGAAACUGGAAAACUUGAGUGCAGAAGAGGAAAGUGGAAUUCCAUGUGUAGCGGUGAAAUGCGCAGAGAUAUGGAGGAACACCAGUGGCGAAGGCGACUUUCUGGUCUGUAACUGACGCUGAUGUGCGAAAGCGUGGGGAUCAAACAGGAUUAGAUACCCUGGUAGUCCACGCCGUAAACGAUGAGUGCUAAGUGUUAGGGGGUUUCCGCCCCUUAGUGCUGCAGCUAACGCAUUAAGCACUCCGCCUGGGGAGUACGACCGCAAGGUUGAAACUCAAAGGAAUUGACGGGGACCCGCACAAGCGGUGGAGCAUGUGGUUUAAUUCGAAGCAACGCGAAGAACCUUACCAAAUCUUGACAUCCUUUGACAACUCUAGAGAUAGAGCCUUCCCCUUCGGGGGACAAAGUGACAGGUGGUGCAUGGUUGUCGUCAGCUCGUGUCGUGAGAUGUUGGGUUAAGUCCCGCAACGAGCGCAACCCUUAAGCUUAGUUGCCAUCAUUAAGUUGGGCACUCUAAGUUGACUGCCGGUGACAAACCGGAGGAAGGUGGGGAUGACGUCAAAUCAUCAUGCCCCUUAUGAUUUGGGCUACACACGUGCUACAAUGGACAAUACAAAGGGCAGCGAAACCGUGAGGUCAAGCAAAUCCCAUAAAGUUGUUCUCAGUUCGGAUUGUAGUCUGCAACUCGACUACAUGAAGCUGGAAUCGCUAGUAAUCGUAGAUCAGCAUGCUACGGUGAAUACGUUCCCGGGUCUUGUACACACCGCCCGUCACACCACGAGAGUUUGUAACACCCGAAGCCGGUGGAGUAACCUUUUAGGAGCUAGCCGUCGAAGGUGGGACAAAUGAUUGGGGUGAAGUCGUAACAAGGUAGCCGUAUCGGAAGGUGCGGCUGGAUCACCUCCUUU